rfam:Streptococcus pneumoniae SP6-BS73 ctg838, whole genome shotgun sequence.
GUUACUCUUAAAUAAUAGAGUAUCGCAAUUUGAUUGCGGAAUCCCUAUUUACCAGUCUUUGAGAGCGAUAAGCGAUUGAUAGAAACUGAUAAAUUGAUUUGGUUUCCUGCCAAAAAUUCUUUGGCAGGAUUUUUGUU